rnacentral:rRNA from 1 species
UACGGAGGGUGCAAGCGUUGUUCGGAUUUAUUGGGCGUAAAGGGCGUGUAGGCGGUUCGUUAAGUCUGAUGUGAAAGCCCCGGGCUCAACCCGGGAAGUGCAUUGGAAACUGGCGAACUUGAGUACGGGAGAGGGCAGUGGAAUUCCUAGUGUAGGAGUGAAAUCCGUAGAUAUUAGGAGGAACACCGGUGGCGAAGGCGGCUGCCUGGACCGAUACUGACGCUGAGACACGAAAGCGUGGGGAGCAAACAGG